GACGAACGCUGGCGGCGUGCCUAAUACAUGCAAGUAGAACGCACAGUUUAUACCGUAGCUUGCUACACCAUAGACUGUGAGUUGCGAACGGGUGAGUAACGCGUAGGUAACCUGCCUGGUAGCGGGGGAUAACUAUUGGAAACGAUAGCUAAUAUCGCAUAAUAUUAAUUAUUGCAUGAUAAUUAAUUGAAAGGUGCAAUUGCACCACUACCAGAUGGACCUGCGUUGUAUUAGCUAGUAGGUGAGGUAACGGCUCACCUAGGCGACGAUACAUAGCCGACCUGAGAGGGUGAUCGGCCACACUGGGACUGAGACACGGCCCAGACUCCUACGGGAGGCAGCAGUAGGGAAUCUUCGGCAAUGGACGAAAGUCUGACCGAGCAACGCCGCGUGAGUGAAGAAGGUUUUCGGAUCGUAAAGCUCUGUUGUAAGAGAAGAACGGGUGUGAGAGUGGAAAGUUCACACUGUGACGGUAUCUUACCAGAAAGGGACGGCUAACUACGUG
rnacentral:rRNA from 1 species